rnacentral:sRNA from 1 species
ACAUAUGUUCCAAAUAGUGAUUUUACGUAUAACUAUAAGAUAUAUCGAGAUGGGUAAGAGCAAGAAAAUGUCAACAUUAUCAGUGAUAAGAGCUUUAUUACCGUGCUGUUCGAACAGUGGAGAUGAUUGGAGCGACGAAGGAGUGAUCAUAAGGUCAAGAAUCAUGACCAGUGAUGAAGAUGGUCGGCUUUGGAUCGCUGAGCCAGGGGUCGAUAGACGAGCCACUUCUUAUAUCGCUAGGUUCUACGAAAACCGAGUUUCUGAUCCUAACUACAAAACCCUCUCUCCUUGAAUUGUUUUCCAUGCGCUUCCUUGUCUCUUUUUUCUUUUCUUCAUGUUUUGUAUUCCUUCGCUCUUCAUGUUUUUUUUUUAUAUAUCUUAUGUAAAGUUCAUGGUAAAAUAAUAACUUAUUCC